CCCUUAGACGUUCUGGGCCGCACGCGCGCUACACUGACGGAGCCAGCGAGUAUAAACCUUGGCCGAGAGGUCUGGGAAAUCUUGUGAAACUCCGUCGUGCUGGGGAAAGAGCAUUGUAAUUAUUGCUCUUCAACGAGGAAUUCCUAGUAAGCGCAAGUCAUCAGCUUGCGUUGAUUACGUCCCUGCCCUUUGUACACACCGCCCGUCGCUACUACCGAUUGAAUGGCUUAGUGAGGCUUCCGGAUUGGUUUAGAGAAGGGGGCAACUCCAUCUUGGAACCGAGAAGCUAGUCAAACUUGGUCAUUUAGAGGAAGUAAAAGUCGUAACA
rnacentral:rRNA from 1 species